UCCCAUGUCGUCUAGUGGUUUAGGAUCCUACGUUUUCAAGAACUCAUUAGAGAACCGUAGUGGCCAGGGUUCAAACCCCUGCAUGGGAG